GACUACAGGGGUAUCUAAGCCCGUUUGCUCCCCCAGCUUUCGCGCCUCAGCGUCAGUUGCAGUCCAGAAAGCCGCCUUCGCCACUGGUGUUCCUCCGAAUAUCUACGCAUUUCACCGCUACACUCGGAAUUCCACUUUCCUCUCCUGCACUCUAGUCGCCCAGUAUCAGAUGCAACUCCCCAGUUGAGCCGGGGGCUUUCACACCUGACUUAAACGACCGCCUACGCGCCCUUUACGCCCAAUAAUUCCGGACAACGCUCGCCACCUACGUAUUACCGCGGCUGCUGGCACGUAGUUAGCCGUGGCUUCCUCCCCAGGUACCGUCUUGUUUCGUCCCUGGUAACAGAGCUUUACGAUCCGAAGACCUUCAUCACUCACGCGGCGUCGCUCCAUCAGGCUUUCGCCCAUUGUGGAAGAUUCCCCACUGCAGCCGCCCGUAGG
rnacentral:rRNA from 1 species